rnacentral:rRNA from 1 species
AGUGAACGCUGGCGGUAGGCCUAACACAUGCAAGUCGAACGGCAGCACAGUAAGAGCUUGCUCUUACGGGUGGCGAGUGGCGGACGGGUGAGGAAUACAUCGGAAUCUACUUUUUCGUGGGGGAUAACGUAGGGAAACUUACGCUAAUACCGCAUACGACCUACGGGUGAAAGCAGGGGAUCUUCGGACCUUGCGCGAUUGAAUGGGCCGAUGUCGGAUUAGCUAGUUGGCGGGGUAAAGGCCCACCAAGGCGACGAUCCGUAGCUGGUCUGAGAGGAUGAUCAGCCACACUGGAACUGAGACACGGUCCAGACUCCUACGGGAGGCAGCAGUGGGGAAUAUUGGACAAUGGGCGCAGGCCUGAUCCAGCCAUACCGCGUGGGUGAAGAAGGCCUUCGGGUUGUAAAGCCCUUUUGUUGGGAAAGAAAAGCAGCAGGUUAAUACCCCGCUGUUCUGACGGUACCCAAAGAAUAAGCACCGGCUAACUUCGUG